ACUGAAAUAAAAAAUGUUUUCCGCUUUUUUUUUCCAAUUGCAAAUUAGAAGCUUCAUAAUAUAAUCCUCUUUUCAAUUUUAUCCCCUUUAUCUUUCUCUGCUUUCCUGCGUUCAACCUCACGUAGGCACGCAAACUCACUUUAACGGUUCAACCACUGCGUUCAGGACUAGUUUCUCUCCAAGCUAUUCUCAUUAUCGUUUUCCACUUCCAUCAUCACAGAAAAUUCACUUGCUAUUUCACGACCCUGUUUCUCUCUAAGCUAUCCUCGCCAUCGUUCUCCACUUCCAUCGUCACAGAAAGUUUCUACUCUGCCACCAAUGGAGUCACUUCACCCUCUGCACUUUGGCUUAGAGACCACCUUACCACUGUGUUUCUUUAUUUUUUGUGAUUGGAGGGACAAGAAUUGAUGUAAGGAGUAAAUCAGUUAGAUGUGAUUCACUAUCAUCAUUUGGCAUUCGAUUUAUGCGGAAGUGUUGCUCAUGAGCAAUACAAUUUUUUAAUUUUUCAGACAAUAGCUAGGCCUGUUGAACAUCCUCUGAGAUUCCUAUGAUGGAUCUAACACUGGACAGACAACAGGUGGAUAUUAUGAAGUAUUCCUAUAGUAAGAAUUCUCAAACUAAUAUUUUCAUAGGCUUAGAGGUUAAUUUUAGUUUUUUAAUUUGUUCAAUCCUCAAGAAAUUUUCGAAGAUCUUUUUUGCGGUAGUGAUAAUAUCUUGGUAAGUGCUGUUAUAUGACUUAUAUAUCUAAAAAAUCUGGUGAUAAUGAUAUUUUGACUGAAUUUGUUUGUUAUGUAUGUAAUUUUGUU